AAAUGCGAUAAGUAAUGUGAAUUGCAGAAUUCAGUGAAUCAUCGAAUCUUUGAACGCACCUUGCGCUCCUUGGUAUUCCUUGGAGCAUGCCUGUUUGAGUAUCAUGAAAUCUUCAAAGUAAAUCUUUUGUUAACUCAAUUGGUUUCUACUUUGGUAUUGGAGGUCUUUGCAGCUUCACACCUGCUCCUCUUUGUUCAUUAGCUGGAUCUCAGUGUUAUGCUUGGUUCCACUCGGCGUGAUAAGUUAUCUAUCGCCGAGGACACUGUAAAAGGUGGCCAAGGUAAAUGCAGAUGAACCGCUUCUAAUAGUCCAUUGACUUGGACAAUACUUUUAUGAUCUGAUCUCAAAUCAGGUAGGACUACCCGCUGAACUUAAGC
rnacentral:misc_RNA from 1 species